CCGUUGGCCUCACGUGACUGCGGAAGCCGGAAGUAGUUGUGAUUGCGGAAGUGUUCUUUCCUCGAGUCCAAGUUCAGGACGCUACAAUUCUUCUAUGUGCGACAUCUUCGUUCAUGUAGGAGCUGGCCGGUCUUCCACUUUGGAGCGCGGCCAUGGCGGACCCCAACGACGUCAGUCUGCAGCCCGAGGAGCGAGUCCGCAUAUUGACCAAGAAAGGCAGUUCGGUGGAGAUCAACGAGCAGGUGCCCCCCCGACGCUACUUCCGCUCUGGCAUGGAGAUGAUCCGCAUGGCCCACGUCUACGCUGAGGAGGGCAACAUCGAGCACGCCUUUGUCCUCUACAACAAGUACAUCACUCUUUUCAUAGAAAAACUGCCCAGACAUCGGGACUACAAGACGGCCAACAUACCUGAGAAGAAAGACACACUGAAGAAACUGAAGGAUGUGGCUUUCCCUCAGGCUGAGAUCUUGAAAAAAGCUCUGACCAGGAGAUUUGAACAAGAGUAUGCACAGUACCUGGUCAAGAAGAAGGCGGAGGAGGAGGCACAGGCGUUAGAGCAGUCCCGGCAGCGAGCACUGGAUGAGGAGCGUGAGCGUGUGGCCGUGAUGACGCGGCGCCAGCAGGAACAGGAACAGUUCAGUGCCUUCGAGGAGAUGAUCCGCCGCCAGGAGCUGGAGAGGGAGCGCCAACGUGUGCUGCUGGAGUUUGCCACGCCCUCCGCCCCAGCCCCCGACACGCCGCUCAUUCCUGGCAUCCAGGGGCCCCCCGCCCUCUCGCCUAACGAUCCGCUCAAUCCCAGGGACAUGUCCGGCGGCAUCAACCACCAAGACAAUCGCACCUCCGCAGCCGUGUCCCAACCCACCUUUGACCGCAACCUCAAGCCCGGCUCACUAGUCAGCCCAGGAAACAACAAUGUGACGGUUGAUGCUCUUCGGCAGCUGGCGGUUCCUUCGGAGCUGUGCAGGCACUUCUUGCGCCUGGCGGAGGCCAACACCAGCCGGGCCGUGGAGACAUGCGGCAUCCUGUGUGGAAAACUGACCAGGAACAUGUUCACCGUGACACAUGUCAUCGUUCCCAAGCAGUGUGGAGGACCCGAUUAUUGUGACACCGAGAACGAGGAGGAGCUCUUCCUCAUCCAGGACCAGUAUGACCUCAUUACGCUGGGAUGGAUCCAUACACACCCCACACAGACAGCCUUCCUGUCCAGUGUAGACCUACACACUCACUGCUCCUACCAGAUGAUGCUGCCUGAGGCCAUCGCCAUCGUGUGUUCGCCCAAGUUCAAUGACAGGUGUGCUUUGGCAGGAUCGGCUACUUCAAACUGACAGAGCGAGGAACCAACGAGAUCUCCUCCUGCAAGCAGAAGGGCUUCCACCCUCACAGUAAAGAUCCACCUCUGUUCACGCAUGCAGCACACAUGUACAUCAGUGAGGACAAGGUGACUGUGAUGGACCUGAGGUGACUUGGAUCUUUCUUCAUGGAUGGAAGGACUUACCAGGACCUUGUCAUCAAUCACCUUGACAACUCAGGAAUGUCUAUCUCUCUCUCCAUCCAUGGUCUUGUUUUGUUGCCCCUCUCUCUCUCUCCCUCUCCAUGGACUUGUUUUGUUGCCUCUCUCUCUCUUUCUCUCUCUCUGGUCUUGUUUUCUUGCUUCUCCCUCUCUCUCUCCAUGGUCUUGUUUUGUUGCCUCUCUCUCGCUCUCUCUCUCUCUCUCUCUAUCUCUCUCUCUCUAUGGUCUUGCUGAGUUGAUUCUCUCUCUAUGGUCUUGUUUUGUUGGUUCUAUCUCUCUCUCCCUUGUCUUGUUUUGUUGCUUCUCUCCAUGGUCUGGUCUACUUCUCCUCCAACACUCAGCAGCACAAAUAAAGACUUUGUCAAAGA